AGAGUUUGAUCCUGGCUCAGAAUGAACGCUGGCGGCGUGCUUAACACAUGCAAGUCGUACGAGAACUCUUUAGCUUGCUAAAGAUAGUAAAGUGGCGUACGGGUGAGUAACGCGUGGGUAAUCUACCUUCGAAUUGGGGAUAACAUUGCGAAAGCGAUGCUAAUACCGAAUAAUAUCUUUUAAACUGCGGUUUUAAAGAUCAAAGUUGGUCUCUACAUGUAAGCUUAUGUUUGGAGAUGAGCCCGCGUACCAUUAGCUUGUUGGUAGGGUAAUGGCCUACCAAGGCUACGAUGGUUAGCUGGUCUGAGAGGAUGAUCAGCCACACUGGAACUGACACACGGUCCAGACUCCUACGGGAGGCAGCAGUGAGGAAUUUUGCGCAAUGGGGGAAACCCUGACGCAGCAACGCCGCGUGAGUGAUGAAGGCCUUCGGGUCGUAAAGCUCUGUCAAGUGGGAAGAAAAUACGUAUCAAUAAUACUGUUAUGUACUGACGGUACCACUAAAGGAAGCACCGGCUAACUCCGUGCCAGCAGCCGCGGUAAUACGGGGGGUGCAAGCGUUAUUCGGAAUCAUUGGGCGUAAAGAGCGCGUAGGCGGCCUCUUAAGUCAGAUGUGAAAGCCCGGGGCUUAACCCCGGAAGUGCAUUUGAAACUAAAGGGACUUGAGUAUGGGAGAGGGAAGUGGAAUUCCUGGUGUAGAGGUGAAAUUCGUAGAUAUCAGAGGAACACCGGUGGCGAAUGCGACUUCCUGGACCAAUACUGACGCUGAGGCGCGAAGGCGUGGUAGCAACAGGAUUAGAUACCCUGUAGUCCACGCAGUAACGUGACACUAGUGUAGCGGUAUGACCCUGCUGUGCGCAGUACGCAAUAGUGUCGCUGGGGAGUACGAACGCAGUCAACUCAAAGAUGGACGGGGGCCGCACAGCGGUGGACCAUGUGGUACUCGAGCAACUGAGACUAACUGGAUUGACCUCCCAGGAUCUCUGGGA
rnacentral:rRNA from 1 species